rnacentral:rRNA from 1 species
AUGGGGGACUUCGUGGGGCACGCGCUGCCGGGCUCGCUGCUGCUGGUGGUGGGCCUGUGGCGGGUGUGGGCGUCCAUCGCGCGCUUCGCCACCGACCCACCAGCGUUCCGCGUCCGCGUCUGCAGCUCCUUCUCUGCGGGGCCGCGGCUCCUGGAACUGUACGUGGUGACGGGAGGAGCCUUCCUGGACAUGUGCAUGGAGCUGUUCUACUCCAACCCGCUCCGCAUCCUCACCGGCCGCGGGGUUGACCCGGCGCACCUCAACGGCGGCCUCGAGCACGCCGGCAUGCUCCUCAUGUUCUUCCUCUUCGGCGCGCUCGCGCUCCUCUCCCACAAGACGAGGUCAGUCAGUCAUCUGCCGCUGUCGGACGCCGCGCUUAGCCUGGUGUUUGCAUGCGCUUUCACGUCCGAGUUCCUCCUCUUCUACUUCCACUCCACCACCCAAGUCGGCUUGGAGGCCUACUACCACCGCCUCCUACUCCUCAUCGGCCUCUGCAUCGCCGCCAUCGUCCUCGGCGCGCUCCUGCCAGCCAGCUUCCCGGCCGACCUAGGCACCGGCGUACUCAUCGCGGUGCAGGGCCUGUGGUUCUUCCAGACUGGGUUCACGCUGUACGGUCCUACGCUCCCCGCUGGUUGCGCCCGCAGCUUCGACGCCCCUGGAGCCGACGCCCACGUCGAGUGCCGCGACGGUCCCGCGCUGGAGCGCGCCGAGCACCUGGCAAUCUUCCAGCUUUUCGGGCUCGUGUUCCUCGCGUUCGUGUACGUGCUCGGGUGCUAG